rnacentral:rRNA from 1 species
UGGCGGACGGGUGAGUAACGCGUAAAGAACUUGCCCUUUAGACUGGGAUAACAGAGGGAAACUUCUGAUAAUACUGGAUAAGUUAGUAUAUCGCAUGAUAUGCAAAUGAAAGCUACGGCACUAAAGGAGAGCUUUGCGUCCUAUUAGCUAGUUGGUAAGGUAAGAGCUUACCAAGGCGAUGAUAGGUAGCCGGCCUGAGAGGGUGGACGGCCACAAGGGACUGAGAUACGGCCCUUACUCCUACGGGAGGCAGCAGCC